UACGGGGGGGAGCAAGCGUUGUUCGGAUUUACUGGGCGUAAAGGGCGCGUAGGCGGUCAGCACAAGUCAGUUGUGAAAUCCCCAGGCUUAACCUGGGAACUGCGUCUGAUACUGGAUGGCUUGAGUUUGGGAGAGGGAUGCGGAAUUCCAGGUGUAGCGGUGAAAUGCGUAGAUAUCUGGAGGAACACCGGUGGCGAAGGCGGCAUCCUGGACCAACACUGACGCUGAGUGAGCGAAAGCCAGGGGAGCAAACGGG
rnacentral:rRNA from 1 species